GACUGGGAUCCAUGUGGAUUCAGUCGGCUAGGAAGGAUCGUCAGUUUCCCCAAUGAAUGGGUACUCACGGGAUGCACCACGAGAAGGUCGAUCCAAUGCAUCCCAUUUCUUGAUCAUUAAGCAUGCUACUGGAAUAUUAUUUGCUAUUUACUAUUUCUUCCCCCCCCAAUGAUAAUUCUCCUAUAAAAACAAACUGAAAGCAAAUGAUGAAAUCUUGCCGCUUGUAAUGAUAUGGAUGGACCCUAGAGAGACUGCUAAUUGAAACAAACAAAAUAGAAAAGGACCAGUAUGAGAUAGAAAAAAGACCAAUACCGACCAUGUGACUUCAUUCCUAUGUGUAAUAGAAAGACACAAAGAAGACAAAUAGAGUAAACAAACUUUGAGAGACUGAACAGACUGGUGGUUAGCAGAUGGAGGGUGGGGAGAAAGGGAGGUGGAGGGAACUGGUCAAGGGGUCAGUUGUGCCAUAAUGUAUGGAAACUAGGCUUUUCAAGAAAUGUUUACAAGAGAAUUUUAAUUAUAAUGCUGUGUACCUGAAACGUGCAUUUUGAGCCAAUAUUACCUCUGUUAAAUGUAGUUCAAUAUAAAAGUUAAUGUUGAAAGUUAAGAGAUUUUUCUUAAAGAAACACUGUACCUGUAAUAAACACAGUCUACAAAUAUGAAA